UAAAUCAGUUAUCGUUUAUUUGAUAGUACCUUACUACUUGGAUAACCGUGGUAAUUCUAGAGCUAAUACAUGCUGAAAACCCUGACUUCGGAAAGGGUGUAUUUAUUAGAUAAAAAACCAAUGCCCUUUGGGCUCUUUGGUGAUUCAUGAUAACUUAACGGAUCGCAUGGCCUUGCGCCGGCGACGGUUCAUUCAAAUUUCUGCCCUAUCAACUUUCGAUGGUAAGGUAUUGGCUUACCAUGGUUUCAACGGGUAACGGGGAAUUAGGGUUCGAUUCCGGAGAGGGAGCCUGAGAAACGGCUACCACAUCCAAGGAAGGCAGCAGGCGCGCAAAUUACCCAAUCCCGACACGGGGAGGUAGUGACAAUAAAUACUGAUACAGGGCUCUUUUGGGUCUUGUAAUCGGAAUGAGUACAAUUUAAACCUCUUAACGAGGAACAAUUGGAGGGCAAGUCUGGUGCCAGCAGCCGCGGUAAUUCCAGCUCCAAUAGCGUAUAUUAAAGUUGUUGCAGUUAAAAAGCUCGUAGUUGAAUCUUGGGCCUGGCUGGCCGGUCCGCCUCACCGCGUGUACUGGUCUGGCCGGGCCUUUCCUUCUGGAGAACCUCAUGCCCUUCAGUGGGUGUGUUGGGGAACCAGGACUUUUACUUUGAAAAAAUUAGAGUGUUCAAAGCAGGCCUUUGCUCGAAUACGUUAGCAUGGAAUAAUAGAAUAGGACGUGCGGUCCUAUUUUGUUGGUUUCUAGGACCGCCGUAAUGAUUAAUAGGGAUAGUCGGGGGCAUCAGUAUUCAAUUGUCAGAGGUGAAAUUCUUGGAUUUAUUGAAGACUAACUACUGCGAAAGCAUUUGCCAAGGAUGUUUUCAUUAAUCAGUGAACGAAAGUUAGGGGAUCGAAGACGAUCAGAUACCGUCGUAGUCUUAACCGUAAAGUAUGCCGACUAGGGAUCGGGCGAUGUUUCUAUCUUGAGGAGCGCGGCAC
rnacentral:rRNA from 1 species